ensembl:lncRNA
GGUUGGCCUUGUUAAAGGACAGAGUUGGUCUGGGUUUCUUGGGGCCCUCCCAGUGCCAGUGUGUGGUCUGUGGCUCCACUAAGGAGGCAGAUGUGCUGUGCACAGGAGAACUGUCUGUGACCCCGGAUCCAUGCACAGGUUGGAGACAUGUUCUAAGAAAGAGGUGGCUGCCCUGCCCAGUGUCUCUCCGCAUUUCCUUCUUGUAUACCACCAACCAGAAGCAGCAGGAGAUAGGUCAGUUCAGGAUUCCCUCUACACCACAACUUCAAGCACUAUGAAGGCAUCUCUCUGAUUACUGAAGACUUUGAACCUCCUUUCACUGGCUCAUUGGCCAUUGAGAUGAGACUCCAAAAGCCAGAGGUGCAAUGACGCUCAUCCAAGGUCACAGAGCUGCUCACUGGCAAUGCCAGACUCAGAACCCAGCAAAGUCUUUUCAAGAAACAUUUUUCGUCAUCAUCAUUGUUAUUUAAAAGCUCAUGCUGGGGCUUCCGUGGUGGCUCAGUGGAAAAGAAUCUGCCUGCCAAUCCAGAAGACGUGGAUUCGAUCCCUGAUCC